rnacentral:lncRNA from 1 species
CUCCUGCUCCCUGUCCUGCACUGCAAAGGAGGCCUUUUCAUCCUCUCUACUGCCUCCAAUUUUUCUCACGAGGAAUGUGAGAGGAAAACCUAGAAUGGGCAGAUGAAUCUCUGAACAAGACAGCUCAUGACACGGUUUAUUGGAGCCUUCCUCAAAACCCAUCCAAGAGAGCUUGUUCCUGAAGCAUGGUGCUAAGUCCAUAUGCAGCAGAUGGAGCUCAUGAGAAAAGAGUUGCUCUUGUGAAGACCAAAGCUUGAAAAAGCAUUCCCAGAAGCACGGAGAAGUGAGGAGAAAAGGCAAUGCACCUGGAGCUGGAGACCAAGGCCCUGUUCUUACUGAUGGCCCUUGGAGCAGAUAUUUGAAUUGGAGAGAUAAAACCGUGGUUUUUGGGGUGUUAAUUUUGGUGGCUGAUGCAUUCUGUGAUUGAUUUGGCUAUUACAACUGGUAUUGAUUUUAAACACAUUAAUUGCAAAAUCUCAAUUGUGAUUUGAUUUCUGUAUUUACAAUACUAAAAACGAGGCUUUCGCCAGGAGAAGACAAUUGGCAGUACUCAGUUGGAAGUGCUUAAUUGUUAAUAUAUAUCAGCCGUGGUUCUUCAGCGUCGUCAGUGUUGCUCAGUCUUGCUCUUUGUGGCGACUACUGAAUGCUUGAAAAAUUCUCUCCUAUACUCCCACUCUGCACUGUAGAAGAGAAAGAGAGGAGAGUGGAAGAAAAAAGAGAGGGAGAGGAGAAAGAAAGAGAGGAGAGAGAAACAUGGGCAUGGAUGAUACAUAAGGUAGUUGUAAACUGUGAUCAGCUUUGAUAAUAACUAGAUAAAUUCUUUUAAUACAAAAAUAUAUAAGGCAUUUUGCCUUUUUUUCAAAUUUCAAAUAAAUGGAUUUGUAUAGAAUGUAGUCUGUUGCCCAGAGUUUUCAUUUAGCAUAAUGCAUUUGAGAUUUAUCCAUGUUGUUGUAUAUUCUUUUUAUUGCUGAGUAGUAUUCCAUUGUGUGGAUAUACCAGUUUGUUUAUCCAUUAACCUUUGAUGGAUAUUUGGGUUUUUUUCAAUAUGAGGCUCUUAUAAAUAAACCUUCUGUAAUCAGGUCUUUGUGUAGUCACACAGUUUGUUUGUUUGUUUGUUUUUUAAAAAG